rnacentral:tRNA from 1 species
AGAUUAAAAAAAAAAUUUCUUACAAUAAUUUAAAGUUUAUUAAAUUAAACAUAAUCUA